rnacentral:rRNA from 1 species
CGGUGAGUAACACGUAGGUGACCUACCCCAAAGAGGGGGAUAACGGCCCGAAAGGGCUGCUAAUACCCCAUGUGAUUAGCGAUUCAUUUCGUUAAUGAAAGCUUCCGCAAGGAGUGUGCUUUGGGAGGGGCCUGCGGCGGAUUAGAUUGUUGGUGGGGUAAUGGCCUACCAAGUCGAUGAUCCGUAGCUAGUCUGAGAGGACGAUUAGCCACACUGGCACUGACACACGGGCCAG